GAAGAAAACGAAAAGCGCAGUUUAUUUUGGAUUUUAAAGAGAGAAACUAAAAGGCUUAACUAGGAGAAAAAGAAAACAUUUGGAGGAUUCAAGUAUAUUGGGUACAACAAACAAAUAAGAGAGUAAGUUUUAAAUUAGUAAAGCUAAAUAGCGC